rnacentral:rRNA from 1 species
CUAAGGAACCGAAGAUGGUGCACUAGGGACCCGAAAGAUGGUGAACUAGCUCCCGUUGGUGCGGGAAACCACGCAAGGGGUGUCCGUUGCUUUUCCGCAAGGAGGGUACGGGCGUACGGCCAACGGCGAAUGUUCCGGCUAUGUAGACGUGCACUUCUCCUCUAGUAGGACGUCGCGACCCGUUGCGCGUCGGUCUACGGGCUGAGCGGUAGACCGUUGCGUCGCCUCGUGCGUACGCGACGGACCCUCGGUGGCCCGACCGGCUGCGCGACGGUAUUGCAGACGGUAUUGGGCCGCAACCAGUCUUUACUGUCGAACGUGCGUCAGGCCCGCCGCAAGCUCGAGCAGUCGCCCUGUGGUACGGAUGAUAUUCCCGUUCACGGGCCUGCUCAGCUGUUAGCAGGAGGUGCCCUCGGACUGGCCAAGCUUUAAAAUACCGGUCGGCGACGCUAUUGCUUUGGGUACUCUCAGGACCCGUCUUGAAACACGGACCAAGGAGCCUAACAUGUACGCGAGUCAUUGGGAUGUACAAACCUAAAGGCGAAAUGAAAGUGAAGGUCGUCCUUUGCGUCGACCGAGGGAGGAUGGGCGCUGUAAAGUGCUCCGCACUCUCGGGGCGUCUCGUUCUCAUUGCGAGAAGAGGCGCACCUAGAGCGUACACGUUGGGACCCGAAGGGGGA